rnacentral:rRNA from 1 species
GACGAACGCUGGCGGCGUGCUUAACACAUGCAAGUCGAACGAAGUGGCGAACGGGUGAGUAACGCGGAAUCACACUGCCCUUCAGAGGGGGAACACAGGUGGACAAGACUGCUAAUAGCGUAUACUGCAGUAUGGGAGUGCGUCGGAUUAGCAAGUUGGAGGGGUAACGGCCCAACAAGGCGAUGAUCAGUAGCCGGGCUUGGAGGAUGAACGGCCACAUGGGGGCUGAGACACGGCCCAGACUCCUACGGGAGGCAGCAGUGGGGAAUCUGUCGCAAUGGACGUAAGUCUGACGGAGCAACGCCGCGUGAGUGAUGACGGCUUUCGGGUGGUAAAGCUCUGUUAAUCGGGACGCGGUACCGAAAUAGAAAGCCACGGCUAACUACGUGCCAGCAGCCGCGGUAAUAC